rnacentral:rRNA from 1 species
AAACGGUGGGCACUAGUUGUGGGGACCUUCCACGGUCUCUGCGACGCAGCUAACGCAUUAAGUGCCCCGCCUGGGGAGUACGAUCGCAAGAUUAAAACUCAAAGGAAUCGACGGGGCCCCGCACAAGCAGCGGAGCAUGCGGCUUAAUUCGACGCAACGCGAAGAACCUUACCAAGGCUUGACAUAUACAGGAAUAUGGCAGAGAUGUCAUAGCCGCAAGGUCUGUAUACAGGUGGUGCAUGGUUGUCGUCAGCUCGUGUCGUGAGAUGUUGGGUUAAGUCCCGCAACGAGCGCAACCCUCGUUCUGUGUUGCCAGCAUUUAGUUGGGGACUCACAGGAGACUGCCGGGGUUAACUCGGAGGAAGGUGGGGAUGACGUCAAAUCAUCAUGCCCCUUAUGUCUUGGGCUGCACGCAUGCUACAAUGGCUGGUACAAACGGCUGCAAUACCGCAAGGUGGAGCGAAUCCGAGAAAGCCAGUCUCAGUUCGGAUUGGGGUCUGCAACUCGACCCCAUGAAGUCGGAGUUGCUAGUAAUCGUAGAUCAGCAACGCUACGGUGAAUACGUUCCCGGGGCUUGUACACACCGCCCGUCACGUCACGAAAGUCGGUAACACCCGAAGUCAGUGGCCCAACCGCAAGGAGGGAGCUGCCGAAG